AUGCUUCUGAUUUUCCUCCAGAUAAGAAAGAUAACAGAAGUGUCAGAAAAUUCAGGAAUCAGAAGAGCAAUGACGGCACCGCAGCAAGGAUUUUUCUGUGCAGCACAGAUGUGUUCAGAAACAGUGUGGACCAGGUGGAGAUCGAUCUGUGAGGCACGCAGUGGCCAAGGGGUAGAUGGUGUGGUGGACACUGAGUUGCUGGAGCCUGUCGUGGACAGUCAGGGUGGGAAGUCACUGAAAUUCUUUGACAAAAUGGAAGAAUGUGAGGGAUGCCGUGUGGUGUAAGGAAAGAGUGCUGGCCCUGAAGCCAGAGGACCUGGUUUCAGUCUCUGGCGUGUACCAGCUGUGUGAUCUGGGUGGAAUUUCUUCAUUUCUUUGACCCUCAGUUCCUCAUUUAUAAAAUGAGUAAUGAUGCCUACCCCUCAGAGUGUUAAUUCAUAUGAAGUUCAAAUGAGAUAAUGUAUUAGUCCAUUUUCACACCGCUAGAAAGAACUGCCUGAGACUGGGUAAUUCAUGAAGAAAAUAGAGUCAGUUGACUCACAGUUCUGCAUGACUGGGGAGGCCUCAGGAAACUUACAAUCAUGGCGUCAUGGCAGAAGAUGAAGGGGAAGCAAGGCACAUCUUAUUUGGUGGCAGGAGAGAGAAAGAGAGAGCAAAGGGUAAGUGCCACACUUUUAAACCAUCAGAGCUCAUCAGAACUCACUUACUAUAACAAGAACAGCAUGGGGAAAAUCCACCCCCAUGACUCACCCAGGUCCCUCCCUUGACAUGCGGGGAUUACAAUUAGAGAUGAGAUUUGGGUGGGGACACAGAGCCAAACCAUAUCAGAUAACAUAUGUAAAAAUGGCCGUAACUUAAUGAUGUAUAUUAACUCCUCUAUUUCCUCAAAUAGAUGGUCAUUGUCUCAACCCUAUAUUGAAUACUCCUUUACCUUCUCACUCAUUGAAUGUCAACUCUAUGAUAUAUUAAAUUUUCAUAGACACAUGGGCGUCUCAAUUAGUUUCCACUGAUUUAUUCAUUUAUUCCAGUGAAAAAUCUUCGCUGUUUUCAUUUUACUAGCUUUAUAGUAUUUUAUAAUAUUUGAUAAGGCAAGCACUCUGUUUGCUUCCUGUAUUCAUUUUUGGAUUGCUAUAAAGAACAACAUGAGACUGGGUAAUUUGUGAAAAGAGGUUUAAUUGGCCUAUUGUUCUGCAGGCUGUACAGUAAGCAUGGCUGGGAGGCCUCAGGAAACUUACAAUCAUGGCGAAAGUCAAAGGCGAAGCAGGUAUGUCCUACAUGGCCGGAGAAGGAGAAAGAGAGUGAAGGGGGAGGUGCUACACACUUUUAAACAACCAGAUCUUGUGAGAAUUCACUAUCACAAGAACAGCAAGGGGGGAAAUCCACCCCCGUGAUCCAGUCACCUCCUACCAGGCCCCUCCUCCAACAAUGGAGAUUACAAUUUGACCUGUGAUUUGGGCAGGGACACAGAUCCUAACAAUAUCACUUUCAUUAACAUUUAUAGAUUAACUUGGAGAACACCUAUACAUUUGGAAGAUGAAUCUUCUCAUGCAAGAUAUGAGGUAUUUCCAUUUAUUCAUGCUAUCUAUGAUAGCCUUCAGUUAUAUUUUACAGUUUUCUUCACAUUUCUUUCUGGCGUAUUGUGUUUUAGUUGCUACCACACACGGAUCAUUUUUUCCAUGACUUUGUUCUAUUGGUUCCUAUUUACAUGUAAUAACAAGCUAAUUUUUGUAGGUUGAUCUCAGAUCUGGCCCCCUUGCUGAUAUUUCUCAUUUGUUCUAGAAGUUUGUCAGUUGACUCUUGUAGAGUUUCCAG
rnacentral:lncRNA from 1 species